rnacentral:rRNA from 1 species
AUUGAACGCUGGCGGCAGGCCUAACACAUGCAAGUCGAGCGGAUGAAGGGAGCUUGCUCCUGGAUUCAGCGGCGGACGGGUGAGUAAUGCCUAGGAAUCUGCCUGGUAGUGGGGGAUAACGUCCGGAAACGGGCGCUAAUACCGCAUACGUCCUGAGGGAGAAAGUGGGGGAUCUUCGGACCUCACGCUAUCAGAUGAGCCUAGGUCGGAUUAGCUAGUUGGUGGGGUAAAGGCCUACCAAGGCGACGAUCCGUAACUGGUCUGAGAGGAUGAUCAGUCACACGGGAACUGAGACACGGUCCAGCCCCCUAGGGGAGGCAGCAGGGGGGAAUAUUGGACAAGGGGCGAAAGCCUAAUCCAGCCAGGCCGCGGGGGUGAAGAAGGUCUUCGGAUUGUAAAGCACUUUAAGUUGGGAGGAAGGGCAGUAAGUUAAUACCUGGCUGUUUUGACGUUACAAACAGAAUAAGAACCGGCUAACUUCGU